GAAAGGCGCUUUUGCGUCACUGAUGGAUGGACCCGCGGUGCAUUAGCUAGUUGGUGAGGUAACGGCUCACCAAGGCCACGAUGCAUAGCCGACCUGAGAGGGUGAUCGGCCACACUGGGACUGAGACACGGCCCAGACUCCUACGGGAGGCAGCAGUAGGGAAUCUUCGGCAAUGGACGAAAGUCUGACCGAGCAACGCCGCGUGAGUGAAGAAGGUUUUCGGAUCGUAAAACUCUGUUGUUAGAGAAGAACAAGGAUGAGAGUAAAAUGUUCAUCCCUUGACGGUAUCUAACCAGAAAGCCACGGCUAACUACGUGCCAGCAGCCGCGGUAAUACGUAGGUGGCAAGCGUUGUCCGGAUUUAUUGGGCGUAAAGCGAGCGCAGGCGGUUUCUUAAGUCUGAUGUGAAAGCCCCCGGCUCAACCGGGGAGGGUCAUUGGAAACUGGGAGACUUGAGUGCAGAAGAGGAGAGUGGAAUUCCAUGUGUAGCGGUGAAAUGCGUAGAUAUAUGGAGGAACACCAGUGGCGAAGGCGGCUCUCUGGUCUGUAACUGACGCUGAGGCUCGAAAGCGUGGGGAGCGAACAGGAUUAGAUACCCUGGUAGUCCACGCCGUAAACGAUGAGUGCUAAGUGUUGGAGGGUUUCCGCCCU
rnacentral:rRNA from 1 species